AUUGAACGCUGGCGGCAGGCCUAACACAUGCAAGUCGAGCGGAGCGGCGGACGGGUGAGUAAUGCCUAGGGAUCUACCUGGUCGUGGGGUAUAACGUCCGGAAACGGGCGCUAAUACCACCUACUAUCAGCUGAGUCUAGGUCGGAUUAGCUAGUUGGUGGGGUACAGGCCUACCAAGGCGACGAGCCGUAACUGGUCUGAGAGGAUGAUCAGUCAAACUGGAACUGAGACACGGGCAAGACUCCCACGUGAGGAAGCAGUGGGGAAUAUUGGACAAUGGGCGAAAGCCUGAGCCAGCCAAGCCGCGUGUGGGAAGAAGGUCUUCGGAUUGUAAAGCACUUUAAGUUGGGAGGCGUUACCAACAGAAUAAGCACCGGCUAACUUCGUGCCAGCAGCCGCGGUAAUAC
rnacentral:rRNA from 1 species